AUGUUCACUGUUAUAUUAAUGUGUCUGUGGCUUUCACUUGGUGACUCCAUGGCAGAUUCAAUAGAGCCACUUUUCACUCGUGAAGUUGUACAUGAAGGUGAUGAUGUCACUCUGUCCUGCAGCUACAGAAAAUUCACUGAUACAGUAAACAACCUGCACUGGUACAUACAGCAUCCAAAAUCUACACCCGAGUUCCUUCUUUAUAUUUUUCCAAGUGGAGCUCUAAGUCCCAACCGUCCCCCAAGAAUGUUUGCUAAAGUUGAUGAAAAGAAGAAACAAGUGGAUCUGCUCAUCUCCUCUGCUGCUGUAUCAGACUCUGCACUAUACUACUGUAGGCUGUGCCCAAGACUUUCCAUCAUGGAGAGGUGUGAGACAUUCAAGAAGAAACAUUUCUCCACCAUCCAAAUCGAAGCUCAAAUGUCCAGUUGA